AAUGCCCCUCGAGGCGUUGCAGCCCAACUCUGUGUUGUCGCUGUGUCAUGAGGUGCAGAGAGAAACUGCUGGUGGUCUGCACUGAGACUCUAUGCCAUGUGGAGGACUCAGAGUGAUUAUCACCAUCUACAUU
ensembl:snoRNA small nucleolar RNA SNORA17